UACGAAGGGGGCUAGCGUUGCUCGGAAUCACUGGGCGUAAAGGGUGCGUAGGCGGUUUUUUAAGUCAGGGGUGAAAUCCUGGAGCUCAACUCCAGAACUGCCUUUGAUACUGAAGAUCUUGAGUUCGGGAGAGGUGAGUGGAACUGCGAGUGUAGAGGUGAAAUUCGUAGAUAUUCGCAAGAACACCAGUGGCGAAGGCGGCUCACUGGCCCGAUACUGACGCUGAGGCACGAAAGCGUGGGGAGCAAACAGG
rnacentral:rRNA from 1 species